rnacentral:rRNA from 1 species
AGCUUGCUUCUUUGCUGACGAGCGGCGGACGGGUGAGUAAUGCUUGGGAACAUGCCUUGAGGUGGGGGACAACAGUUGGAAACGACUGCUAAUACCGCAUAAUGUCUACGGACCAAAGGGGGCUUCGGCUCUCGCCUUUAGAUUGGCCCAAGUGGGAUUAGCUAGUUGGUGAGGUAAUGGCUCACCAAGGCGACGAUCCCUAGCUGGUUUGAGAGGAUGAUCAGCCACACUGGGACUGAGACACGGCCCAGACUCCUACGGGAGGCAGCAGUGGGGAAUAUUGCACAAUGGGCGCAAGCCUGAUGCAGCCAUGCCGCGUGUGUGAAGAAGGCCUUCGGGUUGUAAAGCACUUUCAGUCAGGAGGAAGGGUUAGUAGUUAAUACCUGCUAGCUGUGACGUUACUGACAGAAGAAGCACCGGCUAACUCCGUGCCAGCAGCCGCGGUAAUACGGAGGGUGCGAGCGUUAAUCGGAAUUACUGGGCGUAAAGCGUACGCAGGCGGUUUGUUAAGCGAGAUGUGAAAGCCCCGGGCUCAACCUGGGAACUGCAUUUCGAACUGGCAAACUAGAGUGUGAUAGAGGGUGGUAGAAUUUCAGGUGUAGCGGUGAAAUGCGUAGAGAUCUGAAGGAAUACCGAUGGCGAAGGCAGCC